AAUCAUGCACGACUAUUUCACCAAGCGGCUUUGACCAAACCUUGCUCUGAUACCAAAUUGAAGAGUUUGAACACAACAAUCAACAAUAAUUUUAUUGAUUACAAGAACUUGUACACUUAACUUGUGUACAACAACACACACUAUCACUUACAAAAGAUAACUCUUUCUUACACAAGAAGUAGUACACACACAAUUUAGGAAGACACUUUAACUUUAGACACAGACUCUUUAGUAUUUUGGACACCACAAACUUGAAUUCUCACUCUCUUACUUGGAAUACUUGAACACUCUUUCUUCUUUCAUUUCACAAAUGAAGACAUAUCCCUAUUUAUAGAGACCAAUGAAUAAUUCUAGAGGCACACACCACUCCAUGCUUCUAGAUGCUUAUAGUGAAACUCAUAAACUUCGUUCUUCAUAUUUCGGAAUAUUCUAGCAUCAUCCAGAAAGAUCUAGUAUAGUCUAUAUUAUUCUAGAAGUAAAGGGAAGCUCUAGAAAGUCUAGAAGCUUUUUCCGGAAGAUUCUAGAGUAGUCUAGAUGUUUCGAAUAUAUCCGAAAAUUCUAGUGUUAUCCGGAAGACUCCGAAAAAUUCAACAGUGGUGAUCAUCUUUCAACAUUGCCAAGUGCUUCAAGCAAGAUCCUUAACCUUCCUUCCCCAUCUCCCCAACACAUAUCGAACAGUACUCACCGAAUCUAUCACAAAUUAAAGAAAACAGAAUUAAAAUAACCCACAACAUCUCAACAGCUUACUGAAGAACAAUUCCUAAAAACCCUCCAACAAAACCAACCGAAAAAAUAGCACAAAACGAAAAAUCAAUUGGACACAAAAAGAUAUCAACAGACAGAGGAGAGGAAGAUGCAUUUGAAUCUCAACUUCAUAUUUGUGGAAAAUUAGAAUUUGCUUCGAAUAAAUUGUGUUUGGCUAUCUUCAAUCCUUGCUCUAAUUUUCAUCAAGUUUGAGUAGAAAUUGGGUUAAAAAGGCUUUUGAUACUAACCAUUACAAUGGUUCUUCGUCAAAUCUUUUAAAAAAAUUCCCAACUUAUCCUAAAUUUUAUCCAUUUUUUUAAGAAAACAUUCCAAUGCUCCAAUCCCUACUCUCUUAAACAUUCCAUAUUCGGUGAAAAAUCUGUCUAUACCUUACGUUGAUGAAAA
rnacentral:lncRNA from 1 species